AGAGUUUGAUCCUGGCUCAGAACGAACGCUGGCGGCGUGGAUAAGACAUGCAAGUCGAACGAGAGAAUUGCUAGCUUGCUAAUAAUUCUCUAGUGGCGCACGGGUGAGUAACACGUGAGUAACCUGCCCCCGAGAGCGGGAUAGCCCUGGGAAACUGGGAUUAAUACCGCAUAGUAUCGAAAGAUUAAAGCAGCAAUGCGCUUGGGGAUGGGCUCGCGGCCUAUUAGUUAGUUGGUGAGGUAACGGCUCACCAAGGCGAUGACGGGUAGCCGGUCUGAGAGGAUGUCCGGCCACACUGGAACUGAGACACGGUCCAGACACCUACGGGUGGCAGCAGUCGAGAAUCAUUCACAAUGGGGGAAACCCUGAUGGUGCGACGCCGCGUGGGGGAAUGAAGGUCUUCGGAUUGUAAACCCCUGUCAUGUGGGAGCAAAUUAAAAAGAUAGUACCACAAGAGGAAGAGACGGCUAACUCUGUGCCAGCAGCCGCGGUAAUACAGAGGUCUCAAGCGUUGUUCGGAAUCACUGGGCGUAAAGCGUGCGUAGGCUGUUUCGUAAGUCGUGUGUGAAAGGCGCGGGCUCAACCCGCGGACGGCACAUGAUACUGCGAGACUAGAGUAAUGGAGGGGGAACCGGAAUUCUCGGUGUAGCAGUGAAAUGCGUAGAUAUCGAGAGGAACACUCGUGGCGAAGGCGGGUUCCUGGACAUUAACUGACGCUGAGGCACGAAGGCCAGGGGAGCGAAAGGGAUUAGAUACCCCUGUAGUCCUGGCAGUAUACGGUGCACGCUUGGUGUGCGGGGAAUCGACCCCCUGCGUGCCGGAGCUAACGCGUUAAGCGUGCCGCCUGGGGAGUACGGUCGCAAGAUUAAAACUCAAAGAAAUUGACGGGGACCCGCACAAGCGGUGGAGUAUGUGGCUUAAUUCGAUGCAACGCGAAGAACCUUACCUGGGCUUGACAUGUAAUGAACAACAUGUGAAAGCAUGCGACUCUUCGGAGGCGUUACACAGGUGCUGCAUGGCCGUCGUCAGCUCGUGUCGUGAGAUGUUUGGUUAAGUCCAGCAACGAGCGCAACCCCUGUUGCCAGUUACCAGCACGUGAAGGUGGGGACUCUGGCGAGACUGCCCAGAUCAACUGGGAGGAAGGUGGGGACGACGUCAGGUCAGUAUGGCCCUUAUGCCCAGGGCUGCACACGUACUACAAUGCCCAGUACAGAGGGGGCCGAAGCCGCGAGGCGGAGGAAAUCCUAAAAACUGGGCCCAGUUCGGACUGUAGGCUGCAACCCGCCUACACGAAGCCGGAAUCGCUAGUAAUGGCGCAUCAGCUACGGCGCCGUGAAUACGUUCCCGGGUCUUGCACUCACCGCCCG
rnacentral:rRNA from 1 species